rnacentral:miRNA from 1 species
UGUGACCUCACCAUAUGUGUU